AAAAAAUAUAUUACCUCGGAUCUUUGGAGCAUUAAGCACAAGUUUAGACCAUCUCCUUCGGUCUAAUACUGUAUGGGUUUCUCAACAAUAUUAUUUAAAUCAGUUUAUAAUAAUUAAAUUAUUUAUCUAAAUUUUAAACUAUAAAAAGAGAAUUUAACCAAUAAUAUGAAGACAUGUGGAGAAACAGUUUCUCAAAGUUUCUGAAACCAGAAACGUUUCUGAAACCAGAAACGUUUCUGGACGUUUCUGACUCUCUCUCCUACUUUUUCAUUAUUUUAUAUUUUUUUAGUCACCAGAUAUUCUCCCAGAUACUAUUGAUGGAGAUGCCCUUAGACGCUUAACAGAUGUGAAAGCUCCAAGAAAUUUCUCAUAUUCA
rnacentral:sRNA from 1 species